UUCAUGAAGGAAAAUAGGUGCCCCCGAAACCAAAACCAAGAGCAAAACACCCCUAUAAGGUACAUGCAUGGGCAGGUAUAAGUUGCCAAGGAAAGACGCCAAUUGUGCUGUUUGAAGAAAA